rnacentral:rRNA from 6 species
GGGUUGUGAGGUUAAGCGACUAAGCGUACACGGUGGAUGCCCUGGCAGUCAGAGGCGAUGAAGGGCGUGCUAAUCUGCGAUAAGCGCCGGUAAGGUGAUAUGAACCGUUAUAACCGGCGAUACCCGAAUGGGGAAACCCAGUGUGACUCGUCACACUAUCAUUAACUG